rnacentral:rRNA from 1 species
CCUACGGGGGGCAGCAGUGGGGAAUAUUGGACAAUGGGGGGAACCCUGAUCCAGCCAUGCCGCGUGUGUGAAGAAGGCCCUCGGGUUGUAAAGCACUUUCAGUGAGGAAGAACGCCUGGUGGUUAAUACCCAUCAGGAAAGACAUCACUCACAGAAGAAGCACCGGCUAACUCCGUGCCAGCAGCCGCGGUAAUACGGAGGGUGCGAGCGUUAAUCGGAAUUACUGGGCGUAAAGCGCGCGUAGGUGGCUUGAUAAGCCGGUUGUGAAAGCCCCGGGCUCAACCUGGGAACGGCAUCCGGAACUGUCAAGCUAGAGUGCAGGAGAGGAAGGUAGAAUUCCCGGUGUAGCGGUGAAAUGCGUAGAGAUCGGGAGGAAUACCAGUGGCGAAGGCGGUCUUCUGGACUGACACUGACACUGAGGUGCGAAAGCGUGGGUAGCAAACAGGAUUAGAUACCCUUGUAGUC